rnacentral:rRNA from 1 species
GAUGAACGCUAGCGGCAGGCCUAAUACAUGCAAGCCGAACGGCAAUCCCGACGGCAACGUCGGGACUAGAGUGGCGUAAGGGUGCGUAACACGUAUGGAAUCUACCCGCAACAGGAGGAUAGCUCUCCGAAAGGGGAUUAAUCCUGCAUAGGAUUUAGGGGCGGCAUCGCCUUUAGAUUAAACUUUCUAAGGUUAGGUGGAUGAUCAUGCGCAUGAUUAGUU